GUUCUUAUCCCUUUUUCUCCUCUCUUUUUCUCUCAGCCUUAGGAGCAGAGUAGUGAAGAAAAGGCUUCAGGGAAUUGAAUUGUUGCUGUUGGAGGUAAGCAAAACCUGGUGGGAGUUGCAAGAAAGGUCUUUGAAGCUGAGAAUAACCAAAGAAAGUACUUAAUCGAGAACUAGUAACUUGGUGAAUUAAUGGGCUGAGUAGAGCUACCUUGUGGAGCCCUUGAGGAUCUGAGCUGAGAGAGAGACCUUGGGGGAAUUUUAAAUUUAAGUAUGGUUGAUACUUCCCCUGGUUGAGUAAUACUAGUACCCUAAAAGAGUAGUGAAUAGAGAAUUAAUUGUGCUGAAAUUUAAGGAGCUGUGGAGCAAAAUAGUGAAGAAGAAUUUUAGCAGAAACUUCCUGUUGUUGGAGCUGAAAGAAAGCUUGUUGGAGCUGCAAAUUGAGGGGCUGCGAAAGAGAAGCCGAAGUGCUGAAAUUUCUGCAUUGUGUAGAAUUUCAGCAUAGAUUACUUGCUAUUGGAAUUGAAAAAGAGAGCUUGGUGAAGCUUCGAAUUGGGUCGGCGACGCACGAAUUACGGUAGAAGCCGUUUAAGCUCUAUUUGCACGGAGUCGCAAGAGCUCGUUAUUGACACAGUUCGAGACGCUGAUUCUAGCUGUUGGCAUCCCUACAGGUAGGUCGCUCCUCCUUGAACGAUGAGCUCCGGAGUAGUCAUCUUUACUGGACCAGGAGGUGCGUCUCCCCCAGUUGACAGUCCCGUCGGGUGCAGGUUGCGUCUCCCCGAUAUUUGGGAUAGUGUCAGUGAGUUGUUGUUAACCAAAGGGUUAACUAAUGGAUUGGGUAAAUUCAGUAAAGCAUGCAUGCAUAUUACAGUUUUAUAUAUUGUUCUUUCAGCUUUGUACAGGCAUUGUAGUAGUUACAUGUUAUAGUUGGUUACUAUCUG